GUGAAUUGCAGAAUUCAGCGAAUCAUCGAAUCUUUGAACGCACAUUGCGCCCUCCGGCAUUCCGGGGGGCAUGCCUGUCCGAGCGU
rnacentral:rRNA from 1 species